GGGGGUGUAGCUCAGUUGGUUAGAGCGCCUGCCUGUCACGCAGGAGGUCGCGAGUUCAAGUCUCGUCACUCCCG
rnacentral:tRNA from 1 species